rnacentral:misc_RNA from 1 species
UUUUGGUCAUUUUAUAUUUGCAGGAACUUUCCUUUCUUUGUCCCUGUACAAAAUUGAAUGCUGCUUCUUUCACGUAUCGAAACCUAAAUAUGGUCAAAAUAGUCACAAUUGAUCUGCAGUUCCCUUCUCUACCAUUAACUGCAGAAUAAAAUCCAUACAGCUGAUCUGCAAUCACUUUUCUGAACUUUAUCUGGAUACAUCUGUCGUUCUUCCAUCGGCUACAUUCUUCCAUCUCCCCUGUUUCCCCUUCUCUGUCUCUGUCUUUGUUUUCUUCUCUCUGUGUUUCACAUGCAGAGAGGGGAAUAAAUAUUCAAUCUCUUUGUUUCUGAACAGCCCCUGCCAGUCCGAGAUUUCUCUCUCUGUGUAUAGGAAUGGAGUUAGUUCCUUACACAGACCCGAAUUCAAAGCCAGAAUCCUCUACCGUUCCAUGGCAGGACAUGUUCAGAUCCGCUUCAUUUCGCAAGCCUUCCACAACCAAUCCGGCAAAACCGCCUCCGAAUACAUCCAACACGCCACCGCGCGAGUCAAAUAACAAUAACCCAGAUCACAAUACUACCUUCUCAGGUGAUCCUCAGGUGCGCCUUGCUCUUUACAUAGCCAUGGCCCAUGCCGGCCUUGCCUUUACUAUAUUUGUUCUUUAUUUUGUGUGCAAGCUUUUGCAAGAGUAUUUGAGGCCUAUUCAAUGGGCUGUAUUGUGUUCUAUUCCUUUGAGAGGGAUACAAGAGACCCUUGUUGAUUUUUGGAGUGAGCCUUUGAAGCUAGGCCUUACUGAGACUGUUCUUGCAGUUCCUGUUGCCAUUUUUAAGGCUUUUGUAGGUACUAUUGGUGAUAUUAAGGAGGGUUUUUUAAGGGUUUUUCUUAAGAGGCCAAAAAGAGGGGGUCCUAGAAGAACUAGAAGAAGUGGAUUUUCAAAGUUAGUUAGGUGGUUAGUGUCAUUUGGGGUGUUUGUGAUAGCCUACGAGAGAAUUGGUGGUAUGGGGUCAUUAUUGAUUCUUGUUUUAGGGUUCAUGUGUAGUACCAAAACUGCGGGUUCUACAUUUUCUGCUGUAUCUUCUUUUAAGAGCAACAGCUUCAAGCGUACUGCAAUCAGUGCAUUUUUCACGAGAGGGAUUUUAAAGAGAUUGAAAACCAUUGUGGCAAUUGGAUUAAUUGUUGGUAUGAUUGUAGGGUUUUUGGCUGGAUUGAUCUUUUUCUCUUAUAAGAUUGGUGUUGAAGGGAAAGAUGCAGUCAUUUCAUUGAAAUCACACGUAGAAGAGAAUAAUUAUUCAGAAAGGUUUGGCAUUAAGAAGUGGAUGGAUGAGAAUGAUGUUCCUGGAAUGGUAGAUAAGUACACCACCACAGUCUAUGAAACAGUGUCUGAGCAAAUAGAUAGUUUGGCAAUGCAGUAUAAUUUGACGGAGCUUGUCACUGGGAUCAAGCAUUUUGUCAUCAGUCCUCCGGCAAAUUCCUCUGAGCAAUCAGCUGCGUUGAUUAGACCAUCACCCUACACAGAGAAGCUUGUAAAUUUAAGAACGAAAGUUACUAAUCAGGAAUGGGGGGAGAUUUAUACAGAAUUAGAUGCAAUUUUUAGGGAAUUGAUAAUCACCAGGGAGGAUCUUGUUGAGAAGGCAAAAGAGUUUGCUAUUCGAGGGAUGGAUGUGUCACAGCGUGUAUUUGCUAGUAGUGCAUCUGUUUUGGGCGGCAGCGCUAAACUCAUGUUCUCUGUUGGAAAUUCCAUCAUCUCUGGAGCGGCUGAGGUUCUUAAUUUUGUGUCUCAGUCAAUGGUGUUCUCCUGGGUUUUGUAUUAUCUAAUUACAUCAGAGUCUGGAGGGGUAACUGAACAAGUAAUGUGCAUGGUUCCAAUUCCAAAAGCAGCAAGGACUAAGUGUAUUGAUGUUCUUGACAAUGCUAUUUCUGGAGUUCUGUUGGCUACUGCUGAGAUUGCAUUCUUCCAAGGUUGCCUCACAUGGCUUUUAUUUAGACUGUAUAACAUUCACUUCCUGUACGUAUCAACUGUGCUGGCAUUCAUCAGCCCUCUGCUUCCAAUCUUUCCACCUUGGUUUGCAACAAUUCCAGUCGCUGUGCAACUGGUGCUAGAGAGUAGAUAUGUACUGGCUAUUAGCUUGUCCAUUAUUCACGUUGUGCUUAUGGAUUAUGGUACAUCUGAAAUUCAGGAGGAUAUACCUGGUUACAGUGAAUAUCUUACUGGGCUCAGCAUUAUUGGUGGAAUGACAUUGUUCCCAUCUCCAAUGGAGGUAGCUUCUUAUGCCUAUGUCUAAUGUCCAUUUAUGUUGAUUUCUCCUUAAUUUGCUGCUUUAAGAUGCUUUUACGCCCACUUUUUCAUCCUCAAACAGAGCAUUGUCUCUGUGUCUAUCUGAACACGUGUAUAAGUGUGAUAAAAUGAACAUUUAAUAGUUAGUUCACUCGUAAAGUAUACCUUGCCUAAAAUAUUGGCCCAAUCUUAACUCAUAUGGUAAGGUUAAUAAUUUGAUAUGGAAUCUACAUUUGGUGCUGCAAUCUAUAUGAUUCAAAGGUCUGAGUCUGACCAAUUCCUUAUGGAUGAAAAUUUGAUCCUGAAUUCCUGAUAAAUGAUCCUGUUUUAUGCUAAAGAAGCUGUGGUAUUUAAAACAGGAUUUCUGCUAUCUAGUUCACACAGCACGAUAUGUUAAUAAUCACUAAGGGAUAGUUUGAUAUAACUAAUAGCAAACUCCACUGGGUUGAUUCAGUGGUAAGGUUUUCUUAGUUCAGGUGUGAAUUCCUCUGCCAACUCCCUGAGUAACUAGCUCAAGGACUUCUAUUUUGAAAAGUUAAUGAUAUAUAGGACCUAAAAGAGAUCCAACUUAGAGCACCCGCAAGUUUGAAUUGAUAAUCAAUUGUAAUGAUCUCAUCAGCCUGGUUGAGCUUGAGCAGCAGUCAUAAACAUUUUAAAAACACCUAUUUUGUUAUUUGAUAAUAUUUCCUCUGGUAGAGGUACAGGGGCAUUUUUUUUUUCUCUUUUCAAUGGUGAAAUCUGAUAGCAUUUCUUAAUUAUAAUGAAAGGACCCAAUUAUCAUCAAGAAAAUGGCAGAUGCAAUUAUCAUGCAUUUGCUUUGAUAUUGUGUUUAUAUACACCAGUUUCCCUUCUAUUUUUUGUUAAAAAUUUGUCUGGAUGAAACUUGGUAGCAUUCCUAUCCAAGAACAGGUCAUAUUAUGGUGAUAGAAGAUACAUACAAUUAUUGAAAUUGUGUUUUACUUAAUUUCAUAAUGUUUUUCCUAUUAUUUGAACCUAUUGUUUGGCAGGGAGCAAUAAUGGGGCCAUUGAUAACCACUGUUGUGAUUGGUCUCAAGGAUUUGUAUGCUGAAUUUGUUCUGGACGAACAUGAGAAAAAUGAUUAGCAAAAUGAAGUCUGAAACUCUGCCAGUUCCACCUUCCAAUUCUGUUGCUUUCAACCUGUGAACUGAUUGCUGUACAUUAGUUUGAGCCACUUUCAGCAGAGGCACAUGGCUCGGCCAUUCUCUUCCCACACCAUUUUUUUUUUGGCAAUGUCUUCCUACACCAUUCAAUUGUAGUUUGGUUUCUUUCUUGGUAAGACAGAUGCCUAUUUUGCAUUUUCUUGGUUGUUAGCAGCAUCAUGUAAGUUAAAUUGUACAUUUUUUUUCCAUGCAUUUAGUGCCCUAAGAUUUUGUGGAAUGCCGUAUUGAAGUUGUGAUGUAUUUAUGAGAAUCUUUAUUGUUGUAAGUUCAUAAUCGCAUGGCCCGAAUUCUACUGCCUCAAAUAGACAUUACAUUCUAUAUAUUUCAAUUUCUG